rnacentral:lncRNA from 1 species
ACAGAAAGCAGCCACGUGCAGCCGACUGCACGGCCUGCUGUGUUAAUGGCUGGGAUGCACAGGGCUGCAGCGCUGGCGUUCUGCUGGAUCUGCUCUUCCUUCCCACAGUGACAGCGGAACGCGGCAGAAAGCGCAGCGAGGCGGCAGAGCAGCAAGGAGCUGACGUACAGAGCGCGGAGAUUGUGGCGAUCUGGGAUGCUGUGUCUGAUUACAUCCUGGAACAGAUGAAGCUGGACAAGGGAGUCCUGGUCCCGGGACUCGGGCUCUUUGCUGCGGUCCGAGAGCAAUUCCACAGCAAAGAAGUGGCGGUGUCGGUCCGAAGACCUGUCUUCCAGCUGGACAUCGGGGUGCUGUGGCUGCAGGACCUCCAGUCGCCCACCGACAUCAUCCCCGACGAUGUCAAGAUUGAGCGGCUGAACUACCGGCAGCUCUCGCGAGCCACCGGCAUCUCGCUGCACGUGGUGCAGCGCUGCGUGCGAGAGACCGUCCUCUUGUACUGUCACCUCCUGAGGAACAAGGCGCACGUCUCAUUCGCCUUCAAGAACAUCGGCGUUCUGACGUACGAGGACGACUUCCUCUGCAUGAGGUUCUUGUACAGCUGCAUUAAAACGCUGGAUAGCAAUGCCAGCCUGACUGCACUGCUCCACAGUAGAAUUUGGCCGGCCCGUUCUGCUGACUUCGGGUCAGAGACCACCGCUCAUGGGAUCCAGGUGUUGCCGAGGUUUCAGCUCGCUGUGAAAAAGAGCAGAGCAGAGGCCGCCGCAGAAAGGAACGCUGCAGUGGCGCGGAAGAUGAGUAGAGGGGGCACUGCCGGCAGGCUGCUACAGAAGCGGAAGACACUUCCCCCCUCCAUGCUGCUGCAAUACCAGGCAGGCUCGAGGCAGCAAGAUGUGGCAAAGAAGCCUUCUGCCAGGAGCUCCGGGAAGUGUCUGCCCUGUGGAAUGAAGCAGACCGCACGUGGCCCGUGUACCAGCAGCAGCGGUUUGCCAGUGCGAGCGUGUGGGCUCCGCGUCCUCCAGCCCAGCCCCGGGGACAGCAAGUGGGGAGAAGGUGGAGGAAGGAUGUGGAUCCUCCGCCGGGAAGUAAAAUGGGAACAGCGACCAAGCUGGCACUGCAUGCCGACCUCCUCUCCCCGCGAGCAGCUCAGGUGCUCCAAAGGUUGGAGCCCCACCUCCAUCAGCAAGAGGCUUUUGCUGACACCGCGGAAAGAAACCGGCAGAAGCUGGAGCUGAAGCGGCAGCUCCCCUGUGCUCGAUGCUCGUACCGCUCCAGAGGGGAAGGUGCUGGCAACAGUGCUGGAGCUGUCGGCAAGGGGGCUGGGAAGCUGUCCGGAUUUCCACCUGUGAAUGGCAAAUCGUAGAAUCAAAGACUUGUAGAAUGGCCUGGGUUGAAAAGGACCUUGAAGAUCAUCUAGUUUCCACCCCCCUGCAAUGUGCAGGGUUACCAGCCACCAGUCCGGGCUGCCCAGAGCCACAUCCAGCCUGGCCUUGAAUGCCUCCGGGGAUGGGGCAUCCACCACCUCUCGGCAGGCUGUUCCGGUGCGUCACCAGCCUCCGUGGAGUGAAGAACUCCCCCUAAUAUCUAACCAAAUUCUUCCCCCCUUUCUCAGUUGCAAACCAUUCCCCCUUGUCGUAUCACUGUCCACCCUCGUAUAAACAGCCGUUUCCCCUCCAGUUUAUUUCUUCCCUUCAAGCAUUGGAAGGCCGCAGUGAGGUCUCCCUGGAGCCUUCUCCUCUCCAAACUAAACAAGCCCAGUUCCAUCAACCUUUCUUCACAGGAGAGGUGCUCCAGCCCUCUGAUCAUCUUUGUGGCCCUCCUCUGGACUUGAUCCAACAGGUCUGCGUCUUUCCUGUACUGGGGGCCCCAGGCCUGGACGCAGAGUAUCCCAGAUAAAAAUAAAGAGAAUUGGCGUUCUUU